GCUACAUUUUAACCUAAGAAACAGAGGCUUCAGGAGAAACAUUUAGUCUUUUCUGUUUCCUGCUUCCCAAAGGCUGCAAGUAGCUUCAAGGAACAAAUCAUUAGAGACACGAACCUUCAGACUUUCAUGGUGGAUACAGAUCUGCAGGAGGUCACAACAGUGAGAAUGACAUGAAACCAGAUUCAUGUCAGAUUCGGACAGCUGAAAAUGGGAGGUUAGCAAGUCUUGGAUGUUUGUGGACAUGCAUCAUGUGAAGAUCUGGUUUUAUGUUGUUAAGAUGCGUGGUUAACAUGUGGACCAGGCCUGCAGUCAUGACAAUUUGAAAGAAAUCAAGUUUGAAAUGAUGACAGAGACUCAGAGAACCUUCAUCCUGAAAGACCAAACAUCUAAACAGAGAUUAAACCAGAGUUUCGACACAAUCACACAUCCACUCACAGACAGAAACACGUCUUCUUCUGUUCUUCGCUUUGAUGGAAAUGGCCUUCAGAUGUCAGCAGGCUGUCCGUGUUUUUGUGUCAACUAAAGAAGAUGAGGAGCGCUCUCUGACAGAAACGCAGCUGCAGCUUUUCUUCUGCUGAACGACACGGUGACGAUCAAGAGCUGCUCUUUCACAUCAAUUCCUCCUGAUGCUGCCUUCAGGAAGCAGGAGAAGAAGAGGAUGAAAAGUGUUGGGAAGGAGCUGAUAAGCAGUUGGUGUUCCAGAGAUUUUAGGAUGUUUAGCGUUAGCUCUGCAAGUGUCUGAUCUUCAUCCUCUGCUGGAGCUGUGACUUCAGCCCAGUUUUGGUCCAAACUAAACCCAACCAGGCACUCAUCACGGCCAAACAUACAGCUGUCCUUUAAAGCUGUGGGGUCACAGGAGACAGGACACCGGAUUUAGUUCAGGGAAUGUUAUCGAUGCUCCUUUGUCUGGAACAGCAGAACAUGAUCUGCUUCACCUCCACAGUUAACCUGGAAUUCAACCCCACCUUGACCUAAGAAGGAAAGUUAGGAAGGGAGAUGAGGUCAAACUCUCGGUACUUCACAUGCACCAGACAGCUGGUGCAGUAGAAGAGAACCAGGCACAUACUUGAGAUGUUUCAACCAGCCCAGCGGUUGAAUUUCAACACAAGCAAGUUUCCGACCAGCCUGGACUCGCUCCAAGGAUGGAAGAUGGUGCUGUUCCCUCAGUCACAGACUGUUUGAUGUAUAGAUGGUCCAAACUUUACAUCAUAAUGAAGCUACUUGCCAAUACGAAGGAAAUACAGCUUUGUAUAUAUAGAACAAAGAGGUGUGUUGAAAACAGAGCCCUGGGGUACCCCACAUAUUAGAUCAGUAGAAUGUGCCAAGGUGUGGUUUCUAUGGAAGCUUCUGUUUUCAUGUAAUAUCUAAACCAGUCGAAACACUUCCAGAGAUCCCGACCAAACUAGGAAGCCCCUUUAUUUAGGUGGACAGAGUCAAUGGCUCCUGAUCACUAAUCACUGCAACUGCUCUGAACUACCCCCAUGUAAACAUACAUACAGUAACAUCAAGUUGUUUAUUCAAGACAAUAUAAUAAAUGGCUAUGAAUGUUU